UACUUGUCUUUCUGUGUCUGGCCUGCUUACU
rnacentral:piRNA from 1 species